UAGAAAGCAAUUUUAUAUAUGCCAUGGAGGAGAGGUUGCUAGGAGGUACUGAGGAAAGCAUAGACCUAGUGAUCUUGGUAAAGUGAACAUCAGAUCCACAGCUUUGAUGUCAGCGUGGUUGGGAGUUGGGUGCUCUUGCCUACUUCCUCAGUGACUUAGGAGAGUUUACUUCAUGUCACUCAGAGCCAGUCUUCGAAGAUGGGGACAAAUCAUGGUUUAUUAAUUGAUUCUGAGAUUCAUUCUGACCAUUCAAUAAGAAAAUUUAUAAAAUGUGUCUAGCACAGACCUGAAUAAACAUUAGUUUCUUAUGUUUUAUUAACAAAUCACCUUUUUCAUCACGAUAUCUUAGCUAAUAUUAUGUAUUUGCUAAGUGGCAGGUGUUGUGCUCUAGGAUUUGUAUGGAUUAUCACAUUUCAUGCUCAGAAUAGCCCAGUGAGAAAAAAACCUCUCUUUACACAUGGGGAAACAGGCUUUGAGCACGAGGCAGCUUCCCAAGGAGACAGCAUGUGCUGGUGUAUGCAUGAGCCCUGGUAGCAUGGCUCAAUCUGUGCUCUCUGCCCCUUCUUAGAGAAUAAUUCCCAGAGGUAGAGGAGAAGCCUCCUGGUGGGGCUCAGGGAGUGGGAGACAGGAAGGAGAACAGCAGCAGAUGGUAGACAUUCUUUCAGAAAAUUUGGAGGUAGAGGCAAGAAAGAAGUGAGAUGCCAGAUCAGGGUAGGAUUUUCAGGAGAACCUUGAGCAGUGAGCUUCUUUUGGAGUUUUUUUUUUUUUUUCCUCAGGCAAUGAACACAACUUCUAAAAGCCAUUCAACAUCAUAUAUUUAUUUAGUGAGUGCUGUAUGCUCUUAAAAUUCCCGUGGUUUGUACAUAGGUUGGGACAUGGUCUCCAGGGAAAUUGAGUCCAGUCUCAUUGGCUUUGGCUUACAGUAGGCUGUUUGCCCAGGUAGUCCUGGCUCCAAGACAGCAGACAUUGCACCUUGGAAUUCUGACAUUCCUGACAAUGCUUUUGCAGCUGUCCCUCUUUUUUGUUACUGUAGUGACAUGUCCUGAGGAGAUGGCUGCAGAUGUCCAGCCCCCAAUCCAUCCUGCCUCAUCUUGCCUGCAGCAUUGACAACCAUAGGCUGAAACAGGGAGGAAAUUCACAGGAACUAAGGCCAGGGACCUCCCAACCUCUCUCCCAUACAAUUUAACAGACUGCAGAAAAUGAACCCUGAAUGGGCAGUUUCCAUUUCCCAUCACAAGGUGGGAGGGAGAAAGAGCCUCAUUCUAUAUAACUCAGAGGUGGUGAAUUCACAUCAGGCCCAAGGGUUACUAGUGGUCAUAAAGAUAAAUCCUGCAUGGACAGAGGAGGCUGGAGUAGAAGUGCUGCCCUUGCUAAUUGCACAGAAAGAAGAAAUACCAUGAAUGAAAAGGGUUGCAGAGGAAAUCAUGGUUUAAUGGCAUGGUAUAUAAGGCUGGGUGGAUUGUGAGGAGAGUAAGUGUAAUUUAUAAGAGGUGAAACUUUUAUCUCCAUAAAGGGCCAGAUUGAGCCUACCAUAAAUCUAAAUCUUCUGAAAUAGCUAUGAUUAUGUUGGUAAUAUGUUAAAAGAUAGAUCUUUUUUUAAUGCUCCCCCAAUCCCACCAGGCCACUACUGAGUAGUUAACAAGAUUUUUUUCCUGAAUGUAUGUAGUGAACUUCAUAGAUACCUGCAUUUAGUUUUAAUUUUCUUUAUUGGGAUUUUCAUUUUUAUUUUAAGAAAAAAAGUGGUUCAUUGAAAACAUUGAGGUGAGCUUAAAAUUAUUCAGAACAGUUAAGACUGCUUAGUAUGCUAAUGUGAACACAAAAUAUCUGAGACAGGUCUUAGUCAAUUUAGAAAGUUUAUUUUACCAAGGUUAAGGAUGCACCCAUGACACAGCCUCAGGAAGUCCUGAGACAUGUGCCCCAAGGUGGUUGGGGGUACAGUUUGCUUUUAUGUAUUUCAGGGAGACAUGAGACAUCAAUCAAUAUGUGUAAGAUGUACAUUGGUUUAGUCCAGUAAGGCAGCAACAACUCAAAGUGGGGGUUUCCACGUUAGACAUAGAUAGGAGACAAAAGGUUGCAUUCUUUUGAUCAGCCUUCCACUGAAUACACAAUUUAGUCUGGCUUGAGGGUGGGGCCAUUGCUAGGGACUGGCCCUCUUCUGCCCAGAAUUUCCCUGCCUCCUGUCCCUAUCACCACGAUUUAUUUUCCUUUCACAUUAGUUUGCUGAGGUUUUAAAAUUACCUUUUCUACAGAGUUGUUUGUAUAAUUUGAAGGUUUUCUUAAAUUCUUACUCAUUUAGUGGUUGAUGACUCCUGAGGUAGCCAAAUUACUACUAACAUUUAAAAAAACAUUUCAAGUAUGUUCUCAGGUUUGUAAAUUAAGUUUUUCAAGAAUUUAAACUUAUAAAAUAUUUUUUAAAUGGUUAACUUGUAUAUGAUACAACCUUAUGAGUUUUUUUUUUUUUUUAAUUCGUUGUGCUGAGUCUUUUUUUUUCUUUUAAGGUAAUCCAGAAAUAGACAACAAGAAAUAUUACAAGUACAGCAAAGAGAAGACAUUAAAGUGGCUGGAAAAAAAGGUUAAUCAAACUGUGGCAGCAUUAAAAACCAAUAAUGUGAAUGUCAGUUCCCGGGUACAGUCAACUGCAUUUUUCUCUGGUGACCAAGUUUCCACUGACAAGGAAGAGGAUUAUAUUCGUUAUGCCCAUGGUCUGAUAUCUGAUUACAUCCCUAAAGAAUUAAGUGAUGACUUAUCUAAAUACUUAAAGCUUCCAGAACCUUCAGCCUCAUUGCCAAAUCCUCCAUCAAAGAUGGCAGCACAAAGACAGAAAAGGGGCAAGUGACGGUGGUGGCUCCACGCAAGGCUUGGCGAUUUUCCCUGCAACUUCAGACACUCCCAGAGGACUCGGGCUUUUUCUUCUGCACUUUUUGGAAAAUUGCUAAGUGCCAAAAGGUGUAUUUUAAAGCGCUGCCUGUACAUGCUUUAUUUCUUUGAUUACUACCACUAGUCUAUGUGGGCAGCGGCAUUCCUGCCUGGAGCACUCAGCUAGGCGGUUCCGUCCGGGAGCUUGAAAGCAUCCCAGCGGUGCAGCUUGUUCAGUCUGAGGACCUUAAGCUUGGGUCAGGCCAGCAUGUUUUAGGUAUGGAUGUGGUGACUUAAAGUAUUUGAUUGUCUUGAUUUCACCCUGAAAGCUUUGGCAAACCAAGUUUCAACCCUUACUUUAAAAAUCUGACACUUCUUUACUCCAUAUCAAUUUGGAAGCUUCUAAUUCAUAAAUAUACCUAAACAUUGGCCUUUUAUCUCUCCAGGAGUUAUUAAACAUUUCUUCCUUUUU
rnacentral:sRNA from 1 species